rnacentral:rRNA from 1 species
GAUGAACGCUAGCGGCAGGCUUAAUACAUGCAAGUCGAGGGGUAACAUGGUAGCAAUACUGAUGACGACCGGCAAACGGGUGCGGAACACGUACAGAACCUUCCUUUAAGCGGGGGAUAGCCCAUAGAAAUGUGGAUUAAUACCCCAUAGCAAUAUUUAAUGGCAUCAUUAGAUAUUUAAAGAUUUAUCACUUAAAGAUGGCUGUGCGGCUGAUUAGGUAGUUGGUGCGGGAACGGCCCACCAAGCCAGCGAUC